CUGGCCUGGAAAGAAGGGUUCUUUCCCACCAGCAUCAGCAGAAUCGGGGAUUAGGGCCCAGGCCACCUUUAACUAAGAAGAAAUCAGGAAUCUCCCAUUUCUGCACACCUGUCUUUUUGUGCUUCAAGAAAUGGAAAAUUCCCAAAUAACCAUUUUGAGCAUCCAUUCUCUAUAUCGAUGGCACAAGUCACCUGGUUUCUUCAGACUGCUCUUCACUCAUUGGAAAGCCUAUAAAACCUGCACAUUUUCCGCAAGUACCACCCAGAUAUUUUUAUGAUUCUGCCCUCCUUGACUUUGGGAUUUCUGCAAAAUGAUAUAUCUUUUUAUAUAUCAAAUAAUAUUCCUUUUGUACAAUAUGGUACAUUCAAAAGGAAAGACCUUUUAUGAAUCUUAUUUUGACAAGGACUUCUUGAAGAACGAAAUUUAAAAUAUUUUUAAGUGGAAGCACUAUCCUUGAAGAAUACAUAAACAAUAAUGACAUAGCCAAGCCUCAGGAACACAGUGAAAGACAACGUCAUCUGCUAUGUUUUAUUGCUGACUGGGGAGCCAAAACCAACCAUACGUAAUGGAAUUUCAUUGUACGGCAAUGGAAUUUCCUUCAGAGUUUAUUAAAAGCUUUAACGUAGUUUGAACUCAGUAAAGUAAAUGACCUGUCCAACGUCUGAGUCAGCAUUUUAAGUAAGUAUGCUAAUUUCUGAGCUCAACAAAGAGAAAAUGUUACUCUGAGUGCAUUUCCAAUUGAAAAUAUUGUUUUCAUUCCAUUUCUUUUGAAUUGCAUGAUGGAACUGGAAUGUUUUGAUUGGUUAUAUUUAUGUUUUUUUUCAACAAUCUUGGAGCAGUUGGCUUACUUGUUGACUGAGCAGAGUAAGAAGAGUGGUCCAUGAGUUAAUCAAUGGCCUGUCCAAUGUUGGUACAAAGCAAAAAUUAUAACAGUGAUGAUUUGGUAUUUGUGUCGUGUUUUAUAUUUCAAAUGGAUAAAAAACAGACUCCCUAGUUUCUUUCAUACAGAGGUUUGAUAUAUCUAUGUAUAUGAAUAGGAAUAGAGCAUGAAAAAAUAAAUAGGAAAAUCCAUUUGCAAAGUUCCCUCAUCUUCAUCUCUCCCCAUUUAGAAGUCCUUUAUGAACAACACACUAUUUAUUGAACCUGAAGGACUGGCAUGCUUGGAUGCUUUUAAGAAAUGCCAAGUUUGGAGGCAGAGGCUGCUUCAAAGUUGAUGACCAUGAAGCUGCAUUUUUUCCAUGAUUCCCAGUUAGAUGCUGUGUACACUGAAGUUUGAAAAGUAUUAUUGAAUAGACUCUUUGUCCCUAAUGAAUUGAUGCUGAAAUCCAUUGUUUUCUUAAGUCAUUCAAAUGACUGCUUCCUUCUGUUAAUUGUUGGGAUACAUGCUAGUACAAAGUGCUUAGUAUUCAGAGAAGUAAAAACCAUUACAGAAAUGCAAGUGAGUUAUUUUUUUUUUGUUUAAGCUUUUCAGUAAUUAAAGGUAUAGGUGAAGUAGGAAGCAUCUCUUUGAAUACAAAUAUUCAAGUUAUCCAAUUAUAAAAUGUGAUUAAUAGCCUAAUUUUAACCUUGCAUAUCUUUGGACUUUUCCAUUAUAAUGGUUCUCUGGAAUGCUAACUUGAAGAUAAAGGAAAUAAGCAGAGAGAACAUAUUUCUCAUUAAAUAACAUUAUUUGACCACUGCUCACAUAUAGUGAUCAACUUCUGAACCAUUUUCUCUUUUUUUUGCAUUUGUGACAUUUGGAAACAAUGCUUUCUCCUACUCACUCGAUUUCCAGCAGGUAGCCUAAGAGGAUUUGCAGCCCUGCUUGGUUUGUGAUUCUCAUACGAUUGACUUUACUCUGCAGAGAGAUGAAAUACAGCUUCAAUUGCAAUGGAUGUUAAAGUUAAAACCCUUCUUAUGUCAUUUAGAGAUUGUUUUUAGAUUAAGGAUCAUUUGACCUUGAGGUACAGUGGUUGCUUUAUUAUCUGAUCAUGGUGCUCCCAAUAAGAGCUUGCUGAAUGCUUUCAGCACAUUACCUGCCUAUGUCACUCUAAAGCUUCUUGCCUCCGAAGAUCUCACAGCGGGGUUAGAGCCAGGUAAAGGGCUUAAAUCAGCAAGCUAUAUUUAUCAGCAAUAAACAGCAGUCCCUGGAAAUGUUCUAUCCAGCAAAUUCAUCUAUAAAGCAAUGGCUCAAAGUGCAUGAAAAUGGAACUGAUUUUACGUUUUAAAGAUAAUUUGCCAAUAUUAUUAUGAGAAACUAAUAGCUUUCUGCUAGAAAAAAAACAUUUCUAUAGUUUGAAGUGCACAUAUAUAGAUUGGGAAAGAUGAACAUAUACUAAUACUAAAAUAAUGUACUUAGACCCAAACUCCACAAAUCACAGAAGGAAAAGGAUUCUUGUGGCAACUUGAACAUGGUUACUUAGAUGAGGUUAUAUAUGGUUUGAAACAAAAAUAAGAAAGAUUGUUUAAUAAGAGUUAUUCAAGCUCAAGCUACACCAUGAAGGGCACCAAGACUGAUGGUCCAUUUAUGAUAUGGAGAAGCAGCUGGAUGAACUCAAACCUGAAGGUGAUUCUUCACAGCUAAAGGAAGGACAUUACACAUUAGGAGUUGAUCCUAAAAUGUGGCUGUUGAAAAACCAGGGCUUUAGAGAUGGGAUGAAGUAAGUUACAGAGUACCUCCCUAGCAUGUACAGGGCCCUGGAUUAGAGCCAGCAGCCAGAAUCUAAAACAAAUUAAGAAGUCAUAUUAAAACACGGCAUCUCUUCUUGGUGUAAGGACUCUCCACAUUCCAUUGCUGCUGCCUGUCCUGUCAGAGCUCUGUGGGUGUCAUAGGUGAUGAUUCUGUAUUUGUUAACAAAAUUGAAUUUUAAAUAAUAUCCUAACAAAGGAUGACUGUAGCAUGACCUUGGCUAUGGGCAUCAUACUAGAGAUAAAAUGCCUCUGAGUUCUGUGAAACAUUUACAUAAGGCAGUAUGAGAGCUUUGCUUAUGGCAGUGUGGUCACUGAUGACACAUCUCUGUCUCUUUCCUUCUACACAACUGAGAAAACGUCACAGCUCUGGUUAAAAAAAAAAAAAGAAUGUAAGGCAAACAUAGAUCAAAGAAACUGCUCGAUGAUGUUUUUUUCUUGUGCACUUAUGUGCAAUAGCAUCUCAUCCUAGAGAGCAGUUGUCUGUCUUACAGAAAUAGAAAAUGAUAUCAUAUAUUUUUUGAUCACCAUUCAAGGACAGUAUUUUUAGAUAUUUUCCAUACCGCCAUAGGACGUUUAUCUCAACAACAGUGUAUGGUAAUGGACUUAGACAAUAGUGUUCAAAUGAUUGUAAUAGAGUUAUACCAGACUCAUCCGGGCUAUGAAAGUAAAGAUGUAAAAAUAGACUGGUCAUAAUGUGUGACUCAGCCUCAUGAGGGCAUGUGCUUCCCAGAGCAGUAAUGGGUCUGGCCAGAUCAGUCUCUACCUCUUGCCCGGCAGUGGUUCCUGGCUGUGUGCAUGCUCAUUGGCUGAUUUGUAACAGACGUAUUUGAUUUGCAAGCUCUACUAAGGAAGACAAAAAAAUUAUAAGGCCUGUUUCUAUAGGUAUGGAUGACUGAUAUUUUAAUACAAGAACACCCCUGCCCCGUGUGUGUGUGUGUGUGUGUGUGUGUGUGUGUGUGUGUGUGUGUGUGUGUGUGUGUGUGAGUAUUGAGGGUAUGAGAAUGUGAAGGUCAGAGGACAAUCUCCAGUGUUGGUUGUAAGGUGCCUUUCACCUUACAUUUGAGAGAGGGUCUCUCACUGGCCAAGAGCUUUGCCACAUAGGCCAGGAUAGCUGGCCUACAAAGGUCCAUGGAUCCUCCUGUCUCUCCUUCCAACUUGCCAUUGCUGAGAUCACAAGUGCAUUGUGCUGCACUUACCCAGGUUCUUAACUAAAUUCUAGGGAUUUAAUCUCAGGUCCUCAAGCCCCAGUGGAAGAGAAUCUUAACGGCAUGUGACAUCUUUGUUAAAAUAGAGGAAAUGUAAGUGAUCUUUAUCCAGAUGACAAUUCUGUAAAGCAGUGUAUGCAAUUACAAUCACAGGACCUUGGAAAUC